GAGUUUGAUCGUGGCUCAGGACGAACGCUGGCGGCGUGCCUAAUACAUGCAAGUCGAGCGGAUCUUCAUUAGCUUGCUUUUGAAGAUCAGCGGCGGACGGGUGAGUAACACGUGGGCAACCUGCCUGUAAGACUGGGAUAACUUCGGGGAAACCGGAGCUAAUACCGGAUGAUCCUUUUCCUCUCAUGAGGAAAAGCUGAAAGACGGUUUCGGCUGUCACUUACAGAUGGGCCCGCGGCGCAUUAGCUAGUUGGUGAGGUAACGGCUCACCAAGGCGACGAUGCGUAGCCGACCUGAGAGGGUGAUCGGCCACACUGGGGACUGAGACACGGCCCAGACUCCUACGGGAGGCAGCAGUAGGGAAUCUUCCGCAAUGGACGAAAGUCUGACGGAGCAACGCCGCGUGAGCGAUGAAGGCCU
rnacentral:rRNA from 1 species